AAAAUUCGUAACCUAAGGUAAUACUGGAUUGAUAGCAUCCUAUAUUAUUCUUAAAUAUCCUGCUUUUGAAGAUGAUACGAUUUUAUAUGUGGAUUACUGGAUUGUUAUUAUGUGCUUUGGGUUAAAGUAAUACUGGAUUGUUGGUUAUGAAUUUUAUUGAGAUGAGCAAAGCUUGCAGUCAGUUACUUACUUAGCCCAUGUGCAUAAAUUAGUUAAAGACGUGUUCAAAUAAGUGCAGGAAAUUGGUGCUUUGUCUUAUGGUUUUCCUGAUGGUUUUUCUUGGACAUCAGUGUGAAUUUGCUCGAUAUAUUAUUAUAUAUUUUGAUAGUUUUUGAUUACAUUCAGCCCCCGAGAUAAAAAGACCACACUCACACCAAGCCAAGGUUUGAUUAGAGAAACACAGAGAGAGAAAGAGAACAGGUUUUUCAAAUUCUUCAAAGUCCAAGUACUUCUCUGCAAAGCUAAAAUGGUGAAAAGUUGAGAGCUUUGAAGUUUGAUGAGUCGAUGCAUGAGAGUGAUUAGCUUCUACCUAGCGAUUGAAGAAGAGAUCAUCUUACUUUUCGAGAUGAUGUAUAUUUCCUAUGUUUGUUAAUUAAUAUGUUGAAUUAAUAAAAGGCAAUAGUUGUGCUCUGUGCAGUUCUA